rnacentral:rRNA from 1 species
UACAGAGGUCCCAAGCGUUGUUCGGAUUCAUUGGGCGUAAAGGGUGCGUAGGCGGCGCCGUAAGUCGGAUGUGAAAUCUCGGGGCUCAACCCUGAAACUGCAUUCGAUACUGCGGUGCUAGAGGACUCUAGAGGAAACUGGAAUUCACGGUGUAGCAGUGAAAUGCGUAGAUAUCGUGAGGAAGACCAGUGGCGAAGGCGGGUUUCUGGAGAGUUCCUGACGCUGAGGCACGAAGGCCGGGGAGGCAAACGGGA